UACGAAGGGGGCUAGCGUUGCUCGGAAUCACUGGGCGUAAAGGGUGCGUAGGCGGGUCUUUAAGUCAGGGGUGAAAUCCUGGAGCUCAACUCCAGAACUACCUUCGAUACUGGCGAUCUUGAGUCCGGGAGAGUGAGUGGAACUGCGAGUGUAGAGGUGAAAUUCGUAGAUAUUCGCAAGAACACCAGUGGCGAAGGCGGCUCACUGGCCCGGUACUGACGCUGAGGUGCGAAAGCGUGGGGAGCAAACAGGG
rnacentral:rRNA from 1 species